rnacentral:rRNA from 1 species
GCAACGAUUCGCUAUUGCAUUAGUAACGGCGAGUGAAGCGGCAACAGCUCAAAUUUGAAAUCUGGCCUUGGCCCGAAUUGUAAUUUGUAGAGGAUGUCUUGGGUAUGGUGCGGUCUGAGUUCCCUGGAACGGGACGCCAGAGAGGGUGAGAGCCCCGUACAGAUCAGUGCCUCUAUCCGUGUAAGACUCCUUCGACGAGUCGAGUUGUUUGGGAAUGCAGCUCAAAAUGGGUGGUAAAUUUCAUCUAAAGCUAAAUAUUGGCCAGAGACCGAUAGCGCACAAGUAGAGUGAUCGAAAGAUGAAAAGCACUUUGGAAAGAGAGUUAAACAGCACGUGAAAUUGUUGAAAGGGAAGCGCUCGCAAUCAGACUUGCGCGUAGCUGAUCAUCCGGCGUUCUCGCUGGUGCACUCGGUUGCGUUCAGGCCAGCAUCAGUUUUGGCGGUCGGACAAAGGCCCUAGGAAUGUAGCUGUUCGCAGUGUUAUAGCCUAGGGUGCAAUGCGGCCCGCUGAGACUGAGGUCCGCGCUCUGCAAGGAUGCUGGCGUAAUGAUUGUGAGCGACCCGUCUUGAAACACGGACCAAGGAGUCUAACAUCUAUGCGAGUGUGCGGGUGUCAAACCCCUACGCGUAAUGAAAGUGAACGGAGGUGAGAGCCUUUUAGGUGCAUCAUCGACCGAUCCUGAUGUCUUCGGAUGGAUUUGAGUAUGAGCAUAGCUGUUGGGACCCGAAAGAUGGUGAACUAUGCUUGGAUAGGGUGAAGCCAGAGGAAACUCUGGUGGAGGCUCGCAGCGGUUCUGACGUGCAAAUCGAUCGUCAAAUCUGAGCAUGGGGGCGAAAGACUAAUCGAACCAU